rnacentral:rRNA from 1 species
UGGGGGAAUAUUGGACAAUGGGCGCAAGCCUGAUCCAGCAAUGCCGCGUGUGUGAAGAAGGCCUUCGGGUUGUAAAGCACUUUUAUCAGGAGCGAAACGCUGUCGGCUAAUACCCGGCGGAACUGACGGUACCUGAGGAAUAAGCACCGGCUAACUUCGUGCCAGCAGCCGCGGUAAUACGAAGGGUGCAAGCGUUAAUCGGAAUUACUGGGCGUAAAGCGUGCGUAGGCGGUUUCUUAAGUCUGCUGUGAAAUCCCCGGGCUCAACCUGGGAAUGGCAGUGGAUACUGGGAGGCUAGAGUGUGUCAGAGGGUGGUGGAAUUCCCGGUGUAGCGGUGAAAUGCGUAGAGAUCGGGAGGAACAUCAGUGGCGAAGGCGGCCACCUGGGACAACACUGACGCUGAGGCACGAAAGCGUGGGGGAGCAAACAGGAUUAGAUACCCUGGUAGUCCACGCCCUAAAGCGAUGCGAACUGGAUGUUGGUCUCAACUCGGAGAUCAGUGUCGAAGCUAACGCGUUAAGUUCGCCGCCU